rnacentral:rRNA from 1 species
AGUGAACGCUGGCGGUAGGCCUAACACAUGCAAGUCGAACGGCAGCACAGUAAGAGCUUGCUCUUACGGGUGGCGAGUGGCGGACGGGUGAGGGAUACAUCGGAAUCUACUUUUUCGUGGGGGAUAACGUAGGGAAACUUACGCUAAUACCGCAUACGACCUACGGGUGAAAGCAGGGGAUCUUCGGACCUUGCGCGAUUGAAUGAGCCGAUGUCGGAUUAGCUAGUUGGCGGGGUAAAGGCCCACCAAGGCGACGAUCCGUAGCUGGUCUGAGAGGAUGAUCAGCCAAACUGGAACUGAGACACGGUCCAGACUCCUACGGGAGGCAGCAGUGGGGAAUAUUGGACAAUGGGCGCAAGCAUGAUCCAGCCAUACCGCGUGGGUGAAGAAGGCCUUCGGGUUGUAAAGCCCUUUUGUUGGGAAAGAAAAGCAGCAGGUUAAUACCCCGCUGUUCUGACGGUACCCAAAGAAUAAGCACCGGCUAACUUCGUG